AAGCGUUUUCAGGGCGGGGUGAAACUCCCCACCGGCGGUAGGCGUGCCAAUAGACACGCGAGCCCGCGAGCGCCCGGCAGCCUUGUUGCCGGGGUCAGCAGAUCCGGUUCGAUGCCGGAGCCGACGGUCAUAGUCCGGAUGAAAGAAAGCGCGC
rnacentral:ncRNA from 1 species